ensembl:lncRNA
GGCCGGGCCGCCCAGAGCUCGCCAUUGGGCCUCACUCCCGGGGUCCCGAGCGCCGGCCAUGCUGAUUGGCCGCUGGGGCUUCAUUCACAGCCCCCCUACAGUCCGCAUACACACUCACGCCCCGGGGGCGCGGCCGCCACGUGGGGAGUGGCGCGGGGGUGGUACUGGGACCGCACCCCCUCUCGUCCUGGCUGCGUGGGCCCGCUUUCCCCGGUCUCUGGAGACUCCGAGCCCGGCGGGUCCCACGCUCCACGCGAGCAGAAUUCCCGCAGGUCUCCCGCCCGGGUGGCCAGAGGCGGUGGCGGGGAUGGCGGGCUCCGGGAGGCGCUCCGGCUCCGAGAAGCCGCUUAGCCCCGCGCUCCUCCCUCCGCAGUGCCGCCGCCGGCGGGCCGGGAUUCCCGCGGGUCUCGGCGGCCGCGAGCUGCAGGCGGCGCGGGUCCCCGGCUCGGUUGGUCACCUUGCCCGCCUCGCCUCCCACGGCUUCCAGCGGGCGCGGAGCUCUCCUCUGCGCGCCUCCCCGGCCCGUCUCGGUUUCCCUUCUUCGUCCUCUAGACCAUCCAGCGCAACUCCGUCGACCUCCGCGGCCCUGAGAGAGCAUCCGGCGCGGGCAGAGGCGUACCGGCCCGACCUCACGCCUCUCAUGGACUCUUCUCCAGGGUACCAUGGCCCAGGAAAAGGAACAGAGAAGAGGAAAUGGAAAAGUUGCUCAAAAUUCAGAGGCCAAGGAAGGAGUCUGGUGGAUAAAGAAACCUGGGGAAGAAGGCUUUUUGGAUAGCACAAAGGAAAAGGAAGAUCUUGUUCUGAUGGGCUAUACUAACUUGGAAGUCAUGACUCCAUCUGUCUUCCCAUCCACCCAACCAUCUGUCUAUCAUCC